GAUGAACGCUGGCGGCGUGCCUAAUACAUGCAAGUCGAACGCUGAAGGAGGAGCUUGCUCUUCUGGAUGAGUUGCGAACGGGUGAGUAACGCGUAGGUAACCUGCCUGGUAGCGGGGGAUAACUAUUGGAAACGAUAGCUAAUACCGCAUGACAACAGUUAUUGCAUGAUAACUGUUUAAAAGGGGCAACUGCUCCACUACCAGAUGGACCUGCGUUGUAUUAGCUAGUUGGUGAGGUAACGGCUCACCAAGGCGACGAUACAUAGCCGACCUGAGAGGGUGAUCGGCCACACUGGGACUGAGACACGGCCCAGACUCCUACGGGAGGCAGCAGUAGGGAAUCUUCGGCAAUGGACGGAAGUCUGACCGAGCAACGCCGCGUGAGUGAAGAAGGUUUUCGGAUCGUAAAGCUCUGUUGUAAGAGAAGAACGGGUGUGAGAGUGGAAAGUUCACACUGUGACGGUAUCUUACCAGAAAGGGACGGCUAACUACGUG
rnacentral:rRNA from 1 species